AAAGAUUGUUCAAUGGCUGAUUGGAUUCUUGUGGAUAGUGCAACAGGUGGCAGUGGCAAAGGAUUUAACUGGGCGCAGUUUAAGCUACCACCAAUUAGAAGCAAGCUUGGGUGGCUCUUGGCAGGAGGGAUCAGACCUGACAAUGUUUGUGAAGCACUAUCUACCCUGAGACCUCAUGGUGUUGAUGUCAGUAGUGGCAUUUGUGGCUCAGAUGGCAUCAAGAAGGACCAAUCACAAAUAUCUUCCUUCAUGAAUGCAGUCCGUUCUGUGUGCUAUUGAUUGGUCAUGAGCAAGGAAAUUGAUCCACCUGAUUAAGACAUUACAAUUUUACUUUAUAUUCAGUUUUGAUUUUCUUUUGUUCAUCCGAGGAUAUAUAUGUGGUCGUAUUAUAGGCUUUUCCUCAUGCUAAAAAAAAAAAGACUUCUAGCACCUCAAGGAAUGCAGUUCAAUCUAACAGAGGUGUGUUUAAUAUGAUUAGCCAUUCUUUUCAAGAGGGUCGGAUGGUUUUCAUUACUUUUGACAGAUUAAAAAUGAAGUUAUUUUGCGCAUCUGAUUUCAAUUUCAGGCACUCCUUGAGUACUGGGUUGGUGACUAGUGCCCGAUUGCCUGUUGUAGGAGUGGCGUGAUCUUCUUUCUGUGCCAUGCAUUUUUUCCCUUCUUUCCUUUAAGACUUUGUAAUGCAUAUGAUUGGA
rnacentral:misc_RNA from 1 species